rnacentral:rRNA from 1 species
GAUGAACGCUGGCGGCGUGCCUAAUACAUGCAAGUCGAACGAACAGACCAGGCUCUUGCUCCUCUGACGUUAGCGGCGGACGGGUGAAUAACACGUGUAUAACCUACCUAUAAUUCUGGUAUCAUUUCGGGAAACCGGCUCUAAUACCGGAUAACAUGCUGCACCGCAUGGUUCGUCAGUAAAAUACGGUCUUUCUGUCACUUCUAGAUGGAUCCCCGCGGCUUUAGCUGGUUGGGAAGGUCACGGCUUAUCAAGGCAACGAUGCGUAGCCGACCUGAGAGGGUGAUCGGCCACACUGGAGGGGGGACAGGGACAAUACUCCUGAGGGAGGGAGCAGUAGGGAAUGUUCCGCAAUGGGGGAGAUCCUGGCGGAGCAACGCGGAGUGAGUGAAGAAGGUGUUCGGAGCGUAAAACUCUGUUACUAGGGAAGAACCAAUGUGUAAGGAACCAUGCACGGAGUGACGGUAACUAAUCAGAAAGCAACGGCUAACUACGUG